GGUUUUCUUGUUGAUUUUUGGCAAUCAAACGUCAAAGUGUUAGGAAAAAAGUAGGAAGUAGGAAAACUUGUUCGAACCUGUUUUCUUUCGCGCCACGUUUUUUUUUUUACGGAAAAACCUCGGGAAAAACAGAUUUGCCGUGGAAUUAAUCGGACUGACACGUUUGGCCACUAAGCAAACCUGGCGGAAGCUUCCCUUUUCGACACGUCCCAGAAGUCCUCGCUGUGGAUCGAGGUGAUGAUCAAGUUUUUGCGGCAGGUGGUGCUGGGGGACGGGCGGAAGGCGGCUUCCAAACCGCACUCAACCAGGCAAUCAACGCUCGCAACCGAAGUGGCCGCCCUUCCUCACGCUCACGACAAGAACACGCAAACCUGCGUUGUGGGAGGUACCAGACGUACAACCGGGUGGUGCAACCACCGGUCCACAAUGCUUCUUGUAGGCAGGUUCUUUCAUCAAGUUCCCGACGCAGAACAGCUAGUUUGGUCCGCCGAGCCCUGCCCAGAUCGUCAAGCUAAUGGAGCAUCCGAAAUGUUGACCGAAGCCACCAACAAUGACGUCGUUACGGAUUGCACCGAGGAAUACAAUCUGUCAGUGGUUUAUGUUUAUUUUACAGAAUAAAAAAAUAUGAGGACUGGGGGAUUGGGUUCGUGUUAGGCGUUUCAUUUGACGAGAAAUUUAAAUAAUAAAUAAAAUUCUUUCAAAAUAAGAAAAAAA